CCUCACGUGGGAGGUGGGGGGAGGUUCUCAGUGAAGGUGCAGGGCGGGGACGAGGAAGAGCUCCCUGAGUUGAGAGGAGAUAAUUGGUGGGCUGUGUGUGGUGAGUGCCACAUUGUCUGUGAGGGACCCCCAGAGCCACACAGAAGCAGCAGCAGCAGCAGCAGGAGGAGGAGGAAAUGGCAUCCACCUUCUACCUCACCCAGUGUCACCGGGGCCUCCUCCUCCUCCAGCAGCUGGCCAGGGUGCAGGGACAGGAUGAGCAAGCAGGUGGUGACAGAGAGGGUGGCCAGCUUGUCCCUCCCUCCUGCCAACCAGCCACAGCACUGGCAGUUGCUGCAGUGAGACUGCCCAGGCACAAGUUUGUGCACGUGUCCAGGACGUGAAGGUGAUGGGAACGUGUCCUG